UGCAUGGUGGUACAGAUGGUAGAACUGUUGCCUUGCAACAAAAAGGUCCUGGGUUUAAAUCCCAGCCAGGGAUCUGUAUGCAA